rnacentral:rRNA from 1 species
CCCUUAGAUGUUCUGGGCAGCACGCGCGCUACAAUGGUCUUCGCAAACGGAUGCAUUCUCGAAGGAGAAUGCCAAUCUUGGAAUCUAUGCCUUGGUCGGGACAGUUGCUUGCAAUUUUUCGACUCGAACCAGGAAUUCCUUGUAAUCGUGAUUCAUCACAUCACGAUGAAUACGUCCCUGCCCUUUGUACACACCGCCCGUCGCUCCUACCGAUCGAAGAGUUAGGUGAAUUGUUUUGAUCGAUAAGAUUUGACUAUGGUCAACUCUCGUUGUGAAAUUCUGCGAAGCUGACUGUUUAGAGGAAGGAAAAGUCGUAACA